CAACCCCUGUCACUAGUUGCCAUCAUUAAGUUGGGGACUCUAGUGAGACUGCCUACGCAAGUAGAGAGGAAGGUGGGGAUGACGUCAAAUCAUCACGGCCCUUACGCCUUGGGCCACACACGUAAUACAAUGGCCGGUACAGAGGGCAGCUACACAGCGAUGUGAUGCAAAUCUCGAAAGCCGGUCUCAGUUCGGAUUGGAGUCUGCAACUCGACUCUAUGAAGCUGGAAUCGCUAGUAAUCGCGCAUCAG
rnacentral:rRNA from 1 species